AUACCCAUCCCUAUCUUGAGUGCUUUAUUUGAGAAAUGAGUUGUGUGUGCAGGAACCUGAGGAUCUGUUUGAGACCAUCUCCCAGGCCAUGCUGAACGCGGUGGACAGAGAUGCCGUGUCUGGAAUGGGAGUGGUCGUCCAUGUCAUUGAGAAGGACAAGAUCACCACACGAACCCUGAAAGCCAGGAUGGACUAGAGUUUGUUUCUCCCCACACUUCAACACACACGUUUUGUAUAAAAAUAACAAUGGUUGUUCUGUCUUUCUUUUCUUCAAAAAAUAAACAUGUUUAAACUACC